GUGUGAUGGACUGCCUUUUGCAUAAUGAGCCUGCGAGUUGUGGUGUCUGGCGAGGUUAAGGAAACCCGGAGCCGUAGCGAAAGCGAGUCUUAAUAGGGCGAUUAGUCAGAUGCUGCAGACCCGAAACGAUGUGAUCUAUCCAUGAGCAGGUUGAAGCCGGUGUAAGAGCCGGUGGAGGACCCAACCGACGGCCGUUGAAAAGGCUCCGGAUGACUUGUGGAUAGGGGUGAAAGGCCAAUCAAACAUCGUGAUAGCUGGUUCUCUCCGAAAUAUAUUGAGGUAUAGCGUCGUGUAGUAGUUAUAAGGGGUAGAGCACUGAAUGGGCUAGGGCAUACACCAAUGUACCAAACCCUAUCAAACUCCGAAUACUUAUAGCGUAACCACGGCAGUCAGGCGGCGAGUGAUAAAAUCCGUCGUCAAGAGGGAAACAACCCGGACUAACAGCUAAGGUCCCCAAAUCUCAUUUAAGUGGAAAACGAUGUGAAGUUACUGAAACAACCAGGAGGUUGGCUUAGAAGCAGCCAUCCUUUAAAGAUAGCGUAAUAGCUCACUGGUCUAGUGAUUUUGCGCGGAAAAUAUAACGGGGCUAAAAUGAGUACCGAAGCUUUAGACUUGCACUUAAUCAUUUAUACUAGCUCGUCUUUUGGCGAUAAAUUAAUGAGUUCGAUUUUUUUCUCAAUCGAUAGGCUAAAAGCCUUAUCUCAAUCGAAAAAAUCUUCACAACAUUAAUUUCUCAUCCAAAAUACUUCGCUUUCUAUAUUCAAAUUUUAAAGAUUUCGAACUUUGUUAAUUUUAAAAUUUUCUUAGAAUUUUAAAAUCCCAACUUAGAUAUUUAAAAUUUAACAACCAAGAAGCGAAGAAAGACAAACAAAACUUUAAGACAUCGGAUAAAUUCUUAAAUAUCUUAAGUUUUAAAUUUGAACAAAGCCGCAAGAAAAGUAUAAAUCAUUAAGUGCAAGUGGUAGGAGAGCGUUCCAAUCAGCGUCGAAGCCGUACCGGUAAGGAGCGGUGGAGCGGUUGGAAGUGAGCAUGCAGGCAUGAGUAGCGAUAAAAUACGUGAGAAUCGUAUUCGCCGUAAACCCAAGGUUUCCUACGCGAUGCUCGUCAUCGUAGGGUUAGUCGGGUCCUAAGCAAAGUCCGAAAGGGGUAUGCGAUGGAAAAUCGGUUAAUAUUCCGAUACCGAUAUCAGUGUGCGACGGAAGGACGCUUAAAGUUAGUGGAGCUAGCGGAUGGAAGUGCUAGUCUAAGGAAGUAGGUUGAGUUAUAGGCAAAUCCGUAACUCUUUAUCCGAGAUCUGAAAGGCUUCUGACGCUCUUCGGAGUAGAUGAAGAAUCCAUGAUACUAUCGAGCCGAGAAAAGUUUCUAAGUUUAGCUGAUAUCGCCCGUACCGUAAACCGACACAGGUGGGUGGGAUGAGUAUUCUAAGGCGCGUGGAAGAACUCUCUUUAAGGAACUCUGCAAAAUAGCACCGUAUCUUCGGUAUAAGGUGUGCCUAGCUUCGUUAAGAAUUUACUUCGUAAGCGAAGAAGGUUACAACAAAGAGUCCCUCCCGACUGUUUACCAUAAACACAGCACUCUGCUAACUCGUAAGAGGAUGUAUAGGGUGUGACGCCUGCCCGGUGCUCGAAGGUUAAUUGAUGAUGUUAGCUUAUGCAAAGCAUCUGAUCGAAGCCCGAGUAAACGGCGGCCGUAACUAUAACGGUCCUAAGGUAGCGAAAUUCCUUGUCGGUUAAAUACCGACCUGCAUGAAUGGCGUAACGAGAUGGGAGCUGUCUCAAAGAGGGAUCCAGUGAAAUUGUAGUGGAGGUGAAAAUUCCUCCUACCCGCGGCAAGACGGAAAGACCCCGUGGACCUUUACUAUAGCUUGACACUGCUACUUGGAUAAAGAUGCGCAGGAUAGGUGGGAGGCUUCGAUUCGUAGAUCUCGGUUUACGAUGAGCCAUUGUUGAGAUACCACUCUUCUUUAUUCGGGUAGCUAACUAGCCUAAGUUAUCCUUAGGUAGGACAAUGUCUGGUGGGUAGUUUGACUGGGGCGGUCGCCUCCCAAAAUGUAACGGAGGCUUACAAAGGUUGGCUCAAAGCGGUUGGAAAUCGCUUGCAGAGUAUAAAGGCAAAAGCCAGCUUAACUGCGAGACAUACACGUCGAGCAGAGACGAAAGUCGGUCUUAGUGAUCCGGUGGUUCUGUGUGGAAGGGCCAUCGCUCAAAGGAUAAAAGGUACCCCGGGGAUAACAGGCUGAUCUCCCCCAAGAGCUCACAUCGACGGGGAGGUUUGGCACCUCGAUGUCGGCUCAUCGCAUCCUGGGGCUGGAGCAGGUCCCAAGGGUAUGGCUGUUCGCCAUUUAAAGCGGUACGCGAGCUGGGUUCAGAACGUCGUGAGACAGUUCGGUCCCUAUCUGCCGUGGGCGUAAGAAGAUUGAGGAGAGUUGACCCUAGUACGAGAGGACCGGGUUGAACCGACCACUGGUGUACC
rnacentral:rRNA from 1 species